rnacentral:rRNA from 1 species
AUGACUGCCAAAGAGUUUGAGGAGCUUGCCCUCAAUGGCCACAAUUACCCUACAUGGGCUAUGGACAUCAAGAUCAGUCUUGCGUCCCGUGGGAUAGCGCGUGCAAUACAACCCCCGGAGACUCCUCUCCCGGCUGGGGCUACGCCGCUGACAGAACAGCAGAACUAUGCUGCCUUAUUCAUCAUUAGGCACCAUAUUCAUCCAGAUCUCAAGUCUGAGUAUUUACUGGAGGAAUCUCCUAGUACUCUAUUUCUGGCCCUCAAAACGAGGUAUGAACAGCAGAAGGCAGUAGUCCUGCCAGAAGCACUCCAUGAUUGGACUCAUCUCUGUCUUCAGGAUUUCAAGUCCAUCGGUGAGUACAAUCAUGCUGUUCAUAAGAUAUGUUCCAAACUGCGCUUUUGUGAGAAGGAACCUACUGAGGGGGAGAAGAUAGAGAAAACUUUGUCUACUAUGCUCCCUUCAGAUAGGAUCCUCCAACAACAAUACUAUGCUCGUAACUACACUGUCUAUUCCGAGCUUAUUCACAUGUUACUUCAGGCUGAAAAGCAUGAUGAGCUACUUGCUAAGAAUGGCUCUCAGCGCCCAGUUGGGGCACAACCUUUACCUGAAGUCCAUCUGAAUGUUGCAAAUAGACAAAAGUUUAAUGGUACCCCUCGGGGUAAACAAUCCAAUUUUGAGCAUAAGCGAAAGCGCAAUGGGAACAGGAGAUCUAGAUACCCAGGCAAGGGAAAAGGCACUUCAAAGCCCAGGCUUGAUAAAUCUAAGCUUUGCAACAAGUGUGGAUGCUCCACGCAUUCUACUGAAAAGUGCACAAUGCCCAAGCAUCUGGUUAUGCUGUACCAGCAAUCUCAGGGACGCAAUGCACCUCAAGGGAAAAGGUUUGAAGCCAACUUCAACCUUCAUCCGGAUAGCGCAAAAGGAGCUGGUAGUUCGCACGAUGUUCCUCCUGGACCGAGCAACGCCGUGGUUCCUUAUCUGCCUGAGGCUACUGCUGAAAUGGAGAACACGUUGAUUGAGUACACCGCAAACAACGUGUUUGGCGACUUCGACUAG